rnacentral:rRNA from 1 species
UACGUAGGGGGCAAGCGUUGUCCGGAAUCAUUGGGCGUAAAGAGCGUGUAGGCGGCCUGGUAAGUCCGCUGUGAAAGUCCAGGGCUCAACCCUGGAAUGCCGGUGGAAACUGUCAGGCUCGAGUCCGGAAGAGGCGAGUGGAAUUCCUGGUGUAGCGGUGGAAUGCGCAGAUAUCAGGAGGAACACCGGUGGCGAAGGCGGGUCUCUGGGCAGUAACUGACGCUGAGGAGCGAAAGCGUGGGGAGCGAACAGG